AUGGCAGGCGGCCGCGGCGGCCGUGGCCGCGGCGGCGGAAGGAACCCGGCGACGACCUCCUCCUCCUCCUCAUCGGGGCGGCACAAGUACCGGGUCUCGCGCGAGUUCGGCCAUGAAAGUCCCUUACAAUCUCAAAAGGAGGGGUCGAGUUCAUCUUCUCCAUCAGUCAGCAGUAAAAAAUCACCGCAGCAGAUGGUUACACCAGUUCUGCCAAAGUCUCUUGAUUCACCAGUUGAACCACCGAAGUCUCUCGAUUCUCAGAAGGAAGGGCCAUGUUCAUCUUCUCCCUCAGUUAGCAGUAAAAGAUCGCAGAUGGGUACACCAGUUCUACCAAAGUCUCUAGAUUCACCAGUUCAACCACCAAAGUCUCUCUAUUCACCGCUGAUGAUGGCUAAACAAGUUCAUCCACCGAAAUCUCAAGAUCCACUGGUUCAAACGGUUGCAUCGAUUCAAAUAUCAAGACCUCCAGAAUACAGUAGCGCUUCAUGUGGCUCUGGAGCUGUGGGGUCUCUCGAUUCACCAGUUCAACCAUGGAAGUCUCUCGAUUCAUCACUGAUGAUGUCCGAACAAGUUCAACAACCGAAAUCUCAAGAUUCGCUGGUCCAAAUGGUUGCGUCGAUUCAACUAUCAAACCCUCUAGACUCCAGUAGUGCUUCAACUGGCUCUGGAGCUGUGGGGUCUGAUUUAGGAGCUGCUCCAUUUGAUAUAUGCAUGGGUAACAGCAAAGGCAUUUUCAAGCUAAAUCGCCCUUUACAUGAGAUCAAGAGAGAAGAAAAACGCCUCCGUGCAAGGGAGCUUUCAAACAGUGCAGCUCAGUUGCAACAUCUGAGACCUGGGAUGGUUUUAUUGAAAAGCUUCUUAAAGCCGGAUGAUCAGGUUGAAAUUAUCAAGCUUUGUCGGGAACUUGGUGUUGGCACAGGAGGAUUUUAUCAACCUGCCUACAGAGAUGGUGGUAAGCUAAGUCUGCGGAUGAUGUGCUUAGGGAAGAACUGGGAUCCAGAUUCAAGAUCAUAUGGAGAUAUACGACCCUAUGAUGGGGCUCAACCACCACAGAUGCCACAAGAAUUGACUAAGUUUGUUGAAGAAGCCAUUAAAGCUUCCCAUGAUUUCUUGAAACAAAGAGGCAAGGGAGCUACCGAUCCCGCUGUAGAACUUCCUCUGAUGUCACCUGACAUCUGCAUUGUGAACUUCUACACCACUGGCGGGAAGUUAGGUCUUCAUCAGGACAAAGAUGAAGAUAAAUCUAGCCUUGACAAGGGACUGCCUGUUGUUUCCUUUUCAUUGGGUGACACUGCAGAAUUCUUGUAUGGCGAUGACAGAGAUGUUGAUAAGGCUUCAAAGAUUAAACUUGAAUCUGGUGAUGUUCUGAUAUUUGGUGGUCAAUCAAGGCGCAUAUUCCAUGGGGUCUCCAGCAUUGCGCCGAAAAGUGCACCACUCUGGGUGACCGACAAGGCAAAUCUUCGACCCGGGCGUCUGAACCUCACAUUCAGGCAGCAUAAGUAUGAGCCCUAG
rnacentral:rRNA from 1 species